ACCAAAUUACUACAUACAACAAACAGCAUUGCUGCACUGUAGCCCCUCACCGAGAUCAAUCAACUCUCAUUCACCCUCACGUAUAUCAAUAAGCCACAAUUUAAGUUAUAACAGUUGUAAUGAAUAUUUCAAUGGAUUUAGAUAGACCUAAUGUGGUUGAAUAACCAAGACUGAAGGCAUGAAUAAUUAUGAAAGGGCGAAAUAUGUGUCAGCACUGUGGUCGCCACUAGUCAUAUAACGCUCCAUCAUAAAUCUGCUUGUUCAGUACACAACGAUAAGGUUUACUGCUUGUUCAGCUCGUUAGGUAUGGACACACCAUUGGUAGGCGGUAAUGCACGUCAUAGUUAGAAAACCCAGCGAUUGGCCUGUUACUUCCGAUUGACGUCAUAUCUAUGUUAAUGACGUUCACACUUAGAGUUCGACAGUGGAAUCUCAUCAGUCAGGAGAUCAGACAACAACCACCUCCCGUUCUGUUCUAACGUUGCCCUGUUACAAGAAAAUAGUUUUAGCCGUACUGUCGUGAAAGGGAGAUCGCACUUGACGGUGACACUGAAGAUCGAGUCAUCAAUAAGCUGUCAACAGCCACCGUUGCAAGCGAGCUAUUGGACAUACAAAAGCUAUUAUAGGCAUCCCCACAGCAAGUUAUACUGUAUCCAUCAGUUUCAUUUUGUAGAUACACCAGUCGACAUAAGGAAGAGAAACCAUGCACAUGUCCGUGUCACUUGUUGGUCACAGUCAACUUCCCAACAAUUUGGGAGUGAGGGGAGCGAAGGUUAGAAUAUUUAGAGGUCCUGGAGGUAAAGCUUAUAAUUUUUGGAAUGAUGAGCGUGUGCUCUGUACUGAAUUGGGAACAUGACCUGUGUAUUUUAUGGAUAGGCUCUAAUGACAUAGAUGAUGAUUCUGAAGUGCAGGAAAUAGUAGACGAUAUAGUGUCCAUCAGGGACUCAUAGUUGAAAACUGUGGAGCUGAUGUAAUGGUAGUUCUGGUGGAACCACGAUACUACCCAGAUGAUUACCCAGUGUCUAGUGACCGGUAUCGUCAUAUUCAAAGGGGCAUAAAUCGUAAACUAAAGAGAGAAUUGUCAAAUGAUAGUUUCAUUCAGUUUAACAUGCCUGUAUAUGAAGAGCUGUUGAGCUCAGAUGGGGUACAUUGGACUUAUGAAGGGAAGCAGAUGAUUAAAAAGAAACUCAGAAAUGUCAUCCGGAGAUACUUGAACUGAGACGAUAGCUAGUAAAUACCUGAAAAGACUCCUGCUACAUUAAAGGGUUAAGUAAAAGGGAAAGUGUGAUUUAAAACCAACUGUUGUCUAGCAGGUUAUGUGUAUUUAGAUAAGGACUAUAUAUAGGUCCACCAUCUAAGAAUGUGAAAUCCCAUACAGUGAAUUAUGAGUAGCAUCUUAGUUAUGGAAAAUUUAUUUUAGUAAGUAUAAGCAUGUUAAUUAACUGAUAUUCAUGAAAUAUAUGUAUAAGUAAUAUGCAAUCUUAAAAUUUAAGAAAGAAAAAAAAAUACAUGAUAUAUGUAUGUAUAUAUUUAUAUCUUUGUCACCAUAAUUUUGUUAAGUGUUAACAAAUAUUAAUUAAUUAGUAUAGAUAUUUCAAAACUAUCAGAAAAAAAAAUGCGUGAUUUAUGUAUCUUUAUAUUCGUCACCGUGCACAGUUUUAUUGUGUCAACAAAUAUUAAUUAUUUGAUAUUCAGGGAAUAUAUGUAGGCAAUAUAAAUUU
rnacentral:lncRNA from 1 species